rnacentral:rRNA from 1 species
UACGAAGGGGGCUAGCGUUGCUCGGAAUCACUGGGCGUAAAGGGUGCGUAGGCGGGUUUUUAAGUCAGGGGUGAAAUCCUGGAGCUCAACUCCAGAACUGCCUUUGAUACUGAAGAUCUUGAGUCCGGGAGAGGUGAGUGGAACUGCGAGUGUAGAGGUGAAAUUCGUAGAUAUUCGCAAGAACACCAGUGGCGAAGGCGGCUCACUGGCCCGAAACUGACGCUGAGGCGCGAAAGCGUGGGGAGCAAACAGG